rnacentral:lncRNA from 1 species
UCUGGACAGUGCUUACUGCAAUGUGGCUGAUAAGAAAAAGACAGGCAAAAGCCAAUUGCUGGAGGGCCUGAACUUAAUAGAGGAGUUUUCCUAAAGACAGGAGAAGUGACAUUUAAAAAGACUGUUGCUGGUGAAAAUCUAGAAGAAUAGAGGAUUUUGUGGGACUGUUUAUAGCAUCUAGAGUGGGCAGGGCCUGAGGAGUAUCGAAGAGAGGAAGAUGCAAGACUUAAAAGGCCUUGAAAGAUAGCUUUGAGAAUACAGGUAGAGAGGCCAGCCUUCCAUGGCAGGAGCAGGGAGACAUUGCUGGCUAAUGGCAAAGAAGAGGAAAGGCAGGCUGUUUGACAAACUUAAUGGUAAUAAGUGAGAGCAUGGCAGAGUUUGCAGGUAGCAGAGACAUUGACUGUAAUCUUCCCAGGAUUGGGAAUUCAGUGACUGAGAAAGGGCAUUAUGACAUGGGAAGGGUAGAGCAGAGGGCACAAAAGUUUGUGGGUAUUGGGAACUUGGGUAUUCAGCUAAAUCCAUAUGUGUUCUUAACUGGGAAAACAUCAGUCCAGUGCCUUUAAUUUUACCCUCCACUGCAGUACACAACUCUAGGUGUAAGCUAUAAGUCAAAUGUUGUUUGGGGUCUCCGAUGCUCUUUAAGGUCACAGACCCUGACGCUGGAUGGUCUGAGGAUAGAUAGCCUUUCUAUAGCCCCUCUGCUCUGUGGUUAGCAUGUAAAAUGCUUUUCUAAAUCCACUUUCAAAGUCUGACUGUGGGGCCACCCUUAGAGAAAAACGGUGGUCUAGACUGAAGACAGGUCCAGAAGUUGCAUGGUCUAGGCACAGAGCAUCCUCUAUCCUUUCUCCUUGAAGUCAGUGAACACAUGACAAAUGAGGACUAAACUUAGGGUCGGAAAGCCUGUGUGGCUUCAUUGAGAUGAGGUAUUUCUUAAGCAUAUGGACUCUUUCUGUGUACUGUGUUGAACAUCCUUUGGGGCCAGUAUUCUGUCAUCCAAAUUUUGGAAGGCCUAAGAGUGAUUACCCCCUUUCUUCAGAAAGAGGGUUUUUUUGUUUGGUUGUUUGUUUGGUUGGUUUAUGUUUUUUAAACAGAAGGCUUCCUGAGCCCUCUGAGACCACACCCCAGCCCCAGUUUUCUGUGCCAUCUGAUAAUCUUAGGACAGGACCUAGAAGCAUCAGCCCUGUGAGGAGAGUGAGUUGUGAGGAGGAAGAUGGGCUUUGAAGAUGGUGGACCUCUCUACCUAGGGUAACUUGACAAUUCCCCUGAGGGGUUCAUUGGGUUCAUCCUCUUAGGUAGAAGACUUAACCACUAACCUAAAAACCGCGGGUCCUUUUAACUGAGAUUCAACCAGUGUUGGACACAGCAGGUGAUAGAAGCUACCUCCUUAGGACAGGCUCUGUCUUUUUCUAUUGACUUGGCCACCAGGAACAUUCCCUUGCAGGUAUCAAGGGAAAUGCCUCAGGGAAAAAUAGUAGCAAGGGAGGAAAAUACCUGUGGGCAGAUACCUCCCUGGCAUGGCUAUUGCAAGCAUGACUGUACUUAGAAACAGGUAUCAGUUCCUCCGUAUGUCCUCAGUGAGAGGGAUAGGCAAACUGAAAACAGCUGACUUCAUGACUAGGCUGUCUGACAGGGAAAUAAACAGGAGGAAUUCAAGAUUUUCCUGUAGAAACUAAAACAGCAACAAGGAAAGGAGUCAUGUGCUCCAACUUGGCUCUCCCGAACAUUGGUACAUAAGGGGCUCCCCCUGCAGGAGGAGCAUCACAUCUCCCUCUCCUCUCCUGAAUCUCUCUCCUCACUGCACCUGAGUCCUCUCUACUGACAACAUGGGUUGCUGUGGCUGUGGAGGUUGUGGCGGCUGUGGCUGUGGCGGCUGUGGCUGUGGUGGUUGUGGUGGCUGUGGCUGCGGUGGCUGUGGCUGUGGUGGCUGUGGCUGUGGCUGUGGCUGUGGUGGCUGUGGUGGCUGUGGCUGUGGUGGUUGUGGCUGUGGUGGCUGUGGCUGCUGUGGUGGCUGCUGUGGCUGCUGCAAGCCUACAGUAGUCUGCUGCUGCCGCCGCAGCUGCUGCCGCUCCUGUGGCUGUGGCUCCUGUGGCUGCAGCUGUGGCUGUGGGAAGGGCUGUUGCCAGCAGAAGUGCUGCUGCCAGCAGAAGUGUGGCUGCAAGAAGUGAUGCUGCUAGUAGAACCAGGUGCUCUGCUCCUACCUAGGAGAUAUGGAGGCCACACUGGUGUCCUGCUGGUAAGCAUUCACCCCAUUCCCCCCUCUUCCCUUCCUCUGCCUAUCACCAAUUUAGUCUCCUACUUUGUGAACCCUAAACUUUGUCUAGGCUCUGCAUACAUCUACCUAGACCACAUGAAACAGGUACACAGCCAAAGACUGUAAUGGUAAGCUUAUUUGAUAUAGCCAGAGCCACCUAAGAACCCUGAUCCUAUGCA